rfam:Echinostoma caproni strain Egypt genome assembly, scaffold: ECPE_scaffold0004794
GGUCUCGUAACUCAGCUGGUAGAGCGUGCGCGUACAAAGCGUAGGCGGCGUCCAUGCGUGGGUUCGAAUCCCAACGAGGUUA